GUGGAAGAAGGCGCUGCCGGAUAAGGCCUGUGCCGAGACGAUGGAGGUGUGAUCGGAUUGGGCGAUGGGCAAAGAAGUGCGGACCAUCACCAAGGCAUGGGCGACGAAGUAGGCAACUAGCGCCGACGCUCCAGCAGAUAGCUCCCCGCGCCCCUGUGUGACCUGCCAGCGCGCAUAGCGGAUAGGCCAACGCUCCAGCAGCCGGAGCAGCCGAUGACAUCGACGACGCCCAGCAGGCAGCAGCUGUUUGACGAAAUGGCGCCAAGGCAAGUCCCUCACCAAACCAGAUGUCCUCGACGCCAGAUGCCUAGAACAAGCAUUUUCGGCAAGCAAAAGGGGCAGAUACAAACCUUGCAAACGGCUUUGCAAACAUCCAAUGCACAAGGAUAAUGCAUAUCAAGAAAAGCCACAUGCACGAUUGAUAUCUAUAAACUAUAAGUGAAAUUAUUACUGUCAAAUGUUAUUCAGGUUGAGUCCCAAAUAUUUUUCCCACAAAAAGGAUCAGUAACAUUGUUGUAUUGUUUAACCUGCUGAUAGUUGCUAAUUUACUCUUGAACUAUUAUAAUUAAUAAAACAACCCUUUGAAGCUUUACACGAUUCUCUGUUUAGCUGAGUGUUAGUUCAAAGAAAAGAGCACCAGAAAACCUAUUGAAUUACAAAUAGUAUAAGGGAUGCCAUAUUAUUAAUUUUCUCAUGUGCUGCUGGA